AUUGAACGCUGGCGGCAGGCCUAACACAUGCAAGUCGAACGGUAACAGGAAGAAGCUUGCUUCUUUGCUGACGAGUGGCGGACGGGUGAGUAAUGUCUGGGAAACUGCCUGAUGGAGGGGGAUAACUACUGGAAACGGUAGCUAAUACCGCAUAACGUCGCAAGACCAAAGAGGGGGACCUUCGGGCCUCUUGCCAUCGGAUGUGCCCAGAUGGGAUUAGCUAGUAGGUGGGGUAACGGCUCACCUAGGCGACGAUCCCUAGCUGGUCUGAGAGGAUGACCAGCCACACUGGAACUGAGACACGGUCCAGACUCCUACGGGAGGCAGCAGUGGGGAAUAUUGCACAAUGGGCGCAAGCCUGAUGCAGCCAUGCCGCGUGUAUGAAGAAGGCCUUCGGGUUGUAAAGUACUUUCAGCGGGGAGGAAGGGAGUAAAGUUAAUACCUUUGCUCAUUGACGUUACCCGCAGAAGAAGCUCCGGCUAACUCCGUG
rnacentral:rRNA from 1 species